GUACACUCCUGCGGGAGGCAGCAGUGGGGAAUAUUGGACAAUGGGCGCAAGCCUGAUCCAGCCAUGCCGCGUGAGUGAUGAAGGCCCUAGGGUUGUAAAGCUCUUUCACCGGUGAAGAUAAUGACGGUAACCGGAGAAGAAGCCCCGGCUAACUUCGUGCCAGCAGCCGCGGUAAUACGAAGGGGGCUAGCGUUGUUCGGAUUUACUGGGCGUACAGCGCACGUAGGCGGACUAUUAAGUCAGGGGUGAAAUCCCGGGGCUCAACCCCGGAACUGCCUUUGAUACUGGUAGUCUUGAGUUCGAGAGAGGUGAGUGGAAUUCCGAGUGUAGAGGUGAAAUUCGUAGAUAUUCGGAGGAACACCAGUGGCGAAGGCGGCUCACUGGCUCGAUACUGACGCUGAGGUGCGAAAGCGUGGGGAGCAAACAGGAUUAGAAACCCCGGUAGUCCCAU
rnacentral:rRNA from 1 species